AGCAAAAUUGCUCUCUGUGUGUGUCUUGGUUUGAAGCUUCAAGUGCAAAGUCAAGGGAUUUAUGGGUGGAGAAGAGGAUAGGGAUCUCUCUGCCUUCAAAGUUUGAUCCUUGAAUUCAAAGCUUUAUACUUUUCUAACUUGUUCUUCCCUUCUAUCUUUUUAGCUUUCUUUUCGUUUCUUUUUUUUCUCUCCUGGCUCCUGUCCAUCUAGAAAGAAUUUUUGUCUUGUCCUCUGUUCUGUUGCGUUCUUUGCUGUUCGAGCAUCAUGGCUUCAAAGCGGAUUUUGAAGGAACUCAAGGAUUUGCUGUCCAUCCAGUGUUGUAGUGCUAAAUGCUGAUAAUUUUGAUGAGGUUGUUCUUGAUGAGACCAAAGACGUGUUGGUUGAGUUUUAUGCUCCUUGGUGUGGCCAUUGCAAAAUCCUUGCGCCUACCUAUGAAGAGGUAGCGACAGCAUUUAAAAUGGAAGAUGAUGUAAUAAUAGCAAAUCUAGAUGCCGAUAAAUACAAAGAUUUAGAGGAAAA